GUGAAUUAAUAUAGAUUGAUCCGAAAUUUGACUCAAAUACAAUAUAGUAACUAGUACAAAAUCAAACAAAUAGGAUUUACAAAUAUGCUAAGAUAUUAUAUUUCUUCUACCACCUCACCUAAAGAACUUCUGCAUUACUUGUACAAAAGAAGAAAAAGAAAAUGGACGAAGAGAGAGACAAAGAUAUACUAAGCCCGAGCUUCUCUUCCAGGGCCAUUAGCAAAGAAUGUCUCAAUAUCAGGCGACUGGAAGUAACCAUUCUUUGGAUGGUUCUGCUUAGUUCGCCGACGUUCCAUUUUCUUCCUCGGUGCAGGCGGACACACCAUCGGCGCCGGUAUCUGAUAAUCUGGAUUCUUUGGAGUGGUACACUCUUGCUCCAUCUCCAUUUCCACUAGUUUAUCAAUUUGAAGAAAACAAUGUAGUACGUGUGGUGGUACUAUGAUGUACCUUUUCCACCUAGAAUAAUGCAAAAAGUACAAUAGAAUAUGAAGAGGAAUUAUCAAAGAGUAAAGACUGGUUUAUGUAGAAUUUUGUGCAAGCUUCGAAAUUGUGGAGUAGAGGAAGAGUUGGGGUGAGAAUGUGAGCUGUUUUUCAGGAGCUAAAUUUUAAGUAUUUGCGACAGUUGAGUAUGGGGUGGCACCGACUUGUUUGUAGGUACGUGGCCCAUAUUUGACCGCGUCUUUACUGAUAUUCAAAUAAGGCGGCCGCCGACUCGGCGGCAAUCUACUCGGA
rnacentral:lncRNA from 1 species